GCCACCUAGCGCCAGGCCCCAGGCCCCCAGAUUCUGUCCCAGGGCUGUGCCAUAGUUCCUGGUUGCUUGGUUGGAUGAACCUGGUGGCGGUGCCUGCUCUGGGCCUCGGCAGCUGAGCAGGAGGAAAGGGUGGGCUCAGCUGCCCCCUGCUGGCCACAUCAGGACCUGCAACCUGCGGGCAGUGACGGUAGCCACACCCCAGCCCACACUGCAGGCUCAAUGGAGACUAGAAGGCCGUCCGGACUUGCUGCUUAAAACUGAUGUCCUCAGACCCAAGCCUGGACCUGCCACCCCUGUUCUGGGAGAAGUUUGAUUUUACAAAACCACUGAAUACAUUGUUGGGCUCUCCCAAGGCUUUGGAAGGGGGUCCUGGCAAGGAGAGGGGCUGAAGCUUGACCUUCAUUUGUUCCACGAACCCCAGAGCCCUCCUGGACCACCGAGCCUGGGAGUCCCAGACAAACCACCAGAUUAGAAGCUUCCGCCAGUCUCCACCAGCUCCCAGCCUGGCCGGCCCUGAGGGCUGUAACCCAAUGCAUGUUUAAUAAAAACUCCUGGGCUGUCAUCAA